CGAGUCUAUAAGACUCGAGGAAAGUCCGAGCUCCAUAGGGCAGGAUGCCAGAUAACGUCUGGCGAGGGUAACCUUAGGGAAAGUGCCAUAGAAAAGGAAACCGCCACGUAAGUGGUAAGGGUGGAAAGGUGAGGUAAGAGCUCACCAGCAGUCUGGUAACAGGCUGGCUCUAUAUUUAACAUAUAAUUGAUAG
rnacentral:RNase_P_RNA from 1 species